GUAUUUACAGCAAGCUAAGCAAGGGUUUGAAGAAAAAGGGCAGCAGGGGAACUUGUGCUAGUCUGGGGAACUGCUGGAGUCAGUUCUUUACUAACGAGCAGUUAGUGUCACUUACCCACUGAUGAGGGCACAUAAAGUACCCCCUGCGGGCUGCUUGCUUGCAAAGGCUUGCCCUUUCCAUAGGAUGAGACUCAGCAAGAUAUUUAACCUAAAGCAGGGAAGAUGGGAAGUCAUGGCCCAUGACAGGGAGUCAGUGGGAUUUCUGUCAGAGCUUGAAAUCAGAACAUGUGGAGAGACUGAGGAUGCAGCAGGUUAAAACAUGGAUAAAAUGAAUUCCAGUAAUGGAGAAGCAUACUGGCCUGACAGCACCGAGGGAGGAAAUCUGCUCCAACAUGAAGAAAGCAGAGGAAGGUGCAAUGUGGGGCUCUCCCUGCUGUGCCAUUAACCAGCCUUCACCUUGUCCUCGAGGGACCAUCUGUAAUGGGCAGAGCACUCAGCAUCCACUGCCUGGUCUCUGUGCAGAGGGGACUGAUCUGCCACUCUGAAGAAGUUGAUGUGCCUGAUGUGGACACCUACAUUUAAUUUGACUUCAUUUGCAUGCAGCAGUUCUCCCGAGUUCAGAGUUAUUUGAUGGCAGAGACAACAGAAGCUGUCACUACCCUGAAAUAAAAUUUUUGCUAUCCCUCAG